AGAGUUUGAUCAUGGCUCAGGAUAAACGCUGGCGGCGCACAUAAGACAUGCAAGUCGAACGAACUUAACCAUUAGUUUACUAUUGGAGCGGUUAGUGGCGGACUGGUGAGUAACACGUAAGCAACCUGCCUAUCAGAGGGGGAACAACAGUUAGAAAUGACUGCUAAUCCGCAUAUGCCUUAGAAUCACAUGGUUCAAAAAGGGGAAAGGAGCAAAUCCCACUGAUAGAU
rnacentral:rRNA from 1 species